rnacentral:lncRNA from 1 species
UGACUUAGAAAGGCAAGCUUUGGAUUCUACAGGCAGAUAAUGGCUGGAAAUUGAGCAAUCCUUAAAACAGUUUUAAAAGUGUGGAUUCCAGAUGUUCUCAUUUGAUAAAUUAUAUUCAAAUAGACCCCUGUCUCCAUUCAUCAUUUGCAAUGUCUUUACUUUAUUCUUUUCUUCCAUGAUUGCAGGAUUCUUUCUAACUUAUCAAAACCCUGGCAUAAUAUUCACAUUGCCCUCAACUGUACUCUCUUAGGACUGCCCAACAUGUGCAUUCAAAGUCAUAUGCAAAUAUGCUAAAGAAUCCUAUAGCUAUAGAAAAGAAACCAUAUUUCUCACAUUCUUACAAGUGAAGCCUCCCUUUGAGCCUGUGGAGAAACGUUCCAUGAAUCAUGAAUGAAGUAUUGAGCAUAGGAAUACAACUUAGUCUAUCACCGAUUGGUUGUCUUUGAUGAUCAAAAUGAAGAGGGUUUCUUCCUUUAGCCAGAGGCAUUGAAAUGCUGGAAAAGAGUAUUGGUAGCUCCUGAAGGUCUUGUUCAAGAGCAGAUCAUCUGUGAAUUGUGAGGAAACUGUAUUGCUACUUCCUAGAAAGAGCAUGGUGUAUGCAUAUGUUUUGAUUCCCUCCUGGUGUGGUGUGCAUUGUAAAGGGAACUUGGCCAGGAUGGCCAUAAUGGAGAAGAGCAUUUUUACUGGAGUAAUUUUUCAAUUAAAUAGCAAAAAACCUUCCUCUAUUUGCUCUGCUUGUAUUUUAAUACUAGCCAAAGCCUGUUUAAAAUUCUUGUGGCCAAUAUUUAUUAUACUGUGGUUCUACUAUAGUAUGUAAAAUGGUUAUUAAGUACUGUGGUUAUAAUUCACUUGGAGAGCCCUGUAACAUUUUUACUGGCUUGUUCUCUUCUGUGUUCCUAAUUAUAGGAUAUCAAUAACGAGAGUGACAGCUGACAUUUCUCUUGCUAAGAGGUCUGUCCUAAAUAAUCCCAGCAAGAGAGCAAUAAUUGAACGUUCAAACACCCGGUCCAGCUUAG